GACGAACGCUGGCGGCGUGCCUAACACAUGCAAGUCGAGCGGAAAGGCUACUUCGGUGGUAGUUGAGCGGCGAACGGGUAAGUAACACGGGAGUAAUAAGCCCCACAUUUUGGGAUAGCCAGCGGAAAAGGAGAAUAAUACCGGAUAUGACAAUAUGUAGCAUGGUGAGUGGUGGAAAGUUAUUAGGUGAGGGAUGUACUCGCGGCCAUGCAGCUUGAUGGUGAGGUAAUGGAGCCCCAAGGCUUCGACGGGUAGCCGGUCUGAGAGGGUGACCGGUCACACUGUCACUCGGACACGGCCCAGACUCCUACGUGAGCCAUCAGUGAGGAUUAGUCGACAAUAGGCGGAAGCCUUAUCCAGCAUCUCCGCAUGGGAGAUGACUGCCUUCGGGUUAUAAACCUCUUUCAGUUCCGACGAAGCGCAAGUGACGGUAUGUACACAAAAAGCACCGGCCAACUACGUG
rnacentral:rRNA from 1 species